rnacentral:rRNA from 1 species
GACGAACGCUGGCGGCGUGCUUAACACAUGCAAGUCGAACGGAAAGGCCUGCUUUCCCUUGUGGAUUGCGGGUACUCGAGUGGCGAACGGGUGAGUAACACGUGAGUGAUCUGCCCCCAACUUGGGUAUAAGCCUGGGAAACUGGGUCUAAUUCCCGAUAGGACUGCAGGGUGGUGCCUGUGGUGGAAAACGAUUUUCUAGUGGUUGGGGAUGAGUUCGCGGCCUAUCAGCUUGUUGGUGGGGUAAUGGCCUACCAAGGCGGCGACGGGUAGCCGGCCUGAGAGGGUGGACGGCCACAUUGGGACUGAGAUACGGCCCAGACUCCUACGGGAGGCAGCAGUGGGGAAUAUUGCACCAUGGGCGGAAGCCUGAUGCAGCGACGCCGCGUGGGGGAUGACGGCCUUCGGGUUGUAAACUCCUUUCGACCGCGAGGAAGCCACCUGGUUGGAAGGGUGGUGACGGUGGUGGUAGAAGAAGCACCGGCUAACUACGUG